UACGUAGGGGGGCGAGCGUUGUCCGGAUUUAUUGGGCGUAAAGAGCUCGUAGGCGGUUUGGCAAGUCGGGUGUGAAAACUCCGGGCUCAACUCGGAGACGCCACUCGAUACUGCCAUGACUCGAGUCCGGUAGGGGAGUGCGGAAUUCCUGGUGUAGCGGUGAAAUGCGCAGAUAUCAGGAGGAACACCGGUGGCGAAGGCGGCGAGCUGGACCCUAACUGACGCUGAGGCACGAAAGCCAGGGGAGCGAACGGG
rnacentral:rRNA from 1 species